rnacentral:rRNA from 1 species
CCUACGGGUGGCAGCAGUGAGGAAUAUUGGUCAAUGGGCGGAAGCCUGAACCAGCCAAGUAGCGUGAGGGAUGAAGGCCCUACGGGUUGUAAACCGCUUUUGCAGGGGAAUAAAACGCACCACGUGUGGAGUGCUGCAGGUACCAUGCGAAUAAGGGCCGGCUAAUUCCGUGCCAGCAGCCGCGGUAAUACGGAGGUUCCGAGCGUUAUCCGGAUUUAUUGGGUUUAAGGGGAGCGUAGGCGGUCGUUCAAGUCAGCUGUAAAAGCGCGCGGCUCAACCGCGACCUGCAGUUGAAACUUGCAGCCUUGAGUUCACGACAGGUAGGCGGAAUUCGUGGUGUAGCGGUGAAAUGCAUAGAUAUCACGCGGAACCCCGAUUGCGAAGGCAGCCUACCGGGGUGCGACUGACGCUGAGGCUCGAACGUGUGGGUAUCAAACAGGAUUAGAUACCCUAGUAGUC